UACGUAGGGGGCUAGCGUUGUCCGGAAUCAUUGGGCGUAAAGAGCGUGUAGGCGGUCCGGUAAGUCCGCUGUGAAAGUCGGGGGCUCAACCCUCGAAUGCCGGUGGAUACUGUCGGGCUAGAGUACGGAAGAGGCGAGUGGAAUUCCUGGUGUAGCGGUGAAAUGCGCAGAUAUCAGGAGGAACACCUAUUGCGAAGGCAGCUCGCUGGGACGUAACUGACGCUGAGAAGCGAAAGCAUGGGGAGCGAACAGG
rnacentral:rRNA from 1 species